GACGAACCGUGCGAACGUUAUUCGGAAUCACUGGGCUUAAAGCGCGUGUAGGCGGGCGGGUACGUCGGCGACUGAAAGCCCCCGGCUCAACCGGGGAAGGGGUGCCGAAACGGCCGGCCUGGAGGGGCGUAGGGGGACCUGGAACUUCCGGUGGAGCGGUGAAAUGCGUUGAGAUCGGAAGGAACGCCCGUGGCGAAAGCGAGGUCCUGGACGCCAACUGACGCUGAGACGCGAAAGCCAGGGGAGCAAACGGG
rnacentral:rRNA from 1 species